rnacentral:rRNA from 1 species
AUUGAACGCUGGCGGCAUGCCUUACACAUGCAAGUCGGACGGUAACAGGUCUUCGGUUGCUGCCGUGUGGCGGACGGGCGAGUAAUACAGCGGAACGUGCCAGACCGCGGGGGGGAACGGGGCGACAGCUUGGAAAGUACGCCAUACGAGCAUCGCGUGACAGGAGCGAACCGGAAGGCCUUCCGCGGACGGGGCGGCCGAUGGGAGAUUAGGUAGUUGGUGGGAUAAAGGCUUACCAAGCCGACGAUCUGUAGCUGGUCUGAGAGGAUGACCAGCCACACUGGAACUGAGACACGGCCCAGACUCCUACGGGAGGCAGCAGUGGGGAAUUUUGCACAAAGGGCGAAAGCCUGAUCCAGCCAUGCCGCGUGUAUGAUGAAGGCCUUCGGGUUGUAAACUGCUUUUGUACGGAACGAAGAGACUCUUUCUAAUACCGAGGGUCCUUGACGUUACCGGAAGAAUAAGCACCGGCUAACUACGUG